rnacentral:pre_miRNA from 1 species
CGUCUAUUGGAAUACCUAUGCAUAGAAUAAACCAUAGAAACCAGUGUGUGGAAAUGCUUCUGCUACAAA